UACGUAGGGCGCAAGCGUUGUCCGGAAUUAUUGGGCGUAAAGAGCUCGUAGGCGGCCUGUUACGUCUGCUGUGAAAUCCCGGGGCUUAACCCCGGGCGUGCAGUGGAUACGGGCAGGCUGGAGGCAGGCAGGGGAGAACGGAAUUCCCGGUGUAGCGGUGAAAUGCGUAGAUAUCAAGUGGAACACCAGUGGCGAAGGCGAGUCUCUGGACAUUUCCUGACGCUGAGGCACGAAAGCCAGGGGAGCAAACGGG
rnacentral:rRNA from 1 species